CAGAGUUUGGAGAAACCCAGGAAUGAAGAAGGCCUGGGUCUUCUGUUUCCCCAGUUUAGGAAGAUGAGAGAAUAAAUAAAAUCGUUGCUGCUCCGAGAAAACCUAGGAAAAGAGACCAUGGAGAUUUUGACCUCCUGCCAUGAGGAAAAGGGUGAGAAAAAAUUAAGGGGUGGGGAAGGGAGAAUUCCAGCUGGGUGUGGAGGGAAAAUUAAGUGAAUGGGGAGUCGCCUGGGUUGGGAAGAAGCCAGUCUGUGAAGUGGCACCUCCCCAGGUGCCUGCGGAGUCUGGGAGGUUGAGGCAGACGCCAGCCUGCUCCCCUCUCUUCCUGCAGCUCUUCCUUCUCAAGCCCCAGCCCUUUCCCAAGACAGCAAAGACCAGAGCAAGUUCCAGGUGGGUUGAGUUUUCUUUUCUUUCAGGAAUACCCCCUCAGGCAUCAGAAAGUAAACCUAUCUCCCUCCCUUGGUUAAAGGAAAAAGAAAAAAAUUA
rnacentral:lncRNA from 1 species